UGCAGUCGAACGGCAGCGGGUACUAGCUUGCUAGUAUGCCGGCGAGUGGCGAACGGGUGAGUAAUGUAUAGGAAUCUACCUUGUAGAGGGGGAUAAACUGGGGAAACUCAGUGUAAUACCGCAUAAUACCUUUAGGUUAAAGCUGGGGACUUUAGGGCCUGGCGCUACAAGAUGAGCCUAUAUUAGAUUAGCUAGUUGGCGGGGUAAGGGCCUACCAAGGCGACGAUCUAUAGCUGGUCUGAGAGGAUGGUCAGCCACACUGGGACUGAGACACGGCCCAGACUCCUACGGGAGGCAGCAGUGGGGAAUAUUGGACAAUGGGGGCAACCCUGAUCCAGCGAUGCAGCGUGUGUGAAGAAGGCCUGAGGGUUGUAAAGCACUUUCGGUGGUGAGGAAGUUUGUUAGAUUAAGAGUCAGACAAAUUGACGUUAACCACAAAAGAAGCACCGGCUAACUCUGUGCCAGCAGCCGCGGUAAUACAGAGGGUGCAAGCGUUAAUCGGAAUUACUGGGCGUAAAGCGCGCGUAGGCGGUUAGAUAAGUUAGAUGUGAAAGCCCAGGGCUCAACCUUGGAAUAGCAUUUAAAACUGUCUGACUUGAGUAUGAUAGAGGCAAGUGGAAUUCCUGGUGUAGCGGUGAAAUGCGUAGAUAUCAGGAGGAACAUCAGUGGCGAAGGCGACUUGCUGGGUCAUAACUGACGCUGAGGUGCGAAAGCGUGGGUAGCGAACAGGAUUAGAUACCCUGGUAGUCCACGCCGUANACGAUGAGAACUCGAUGUUGGUGCCGAUUAGGCGCUAGUAUCCAAGCUAACGCGUUAAGUUCUCCGCCUGGGGAGUACGGCCGCAAGGUUAAAACUCAAAGGAAUUGACGGGGGCCCGCACAAGCGGUGGAGCAUGUGGUUUAAUUUCGAUGCACGCGA
rnacentral:rRNA from 1 species